AAAUUGAAGAGUUUGAUCAUGGCUCAGAUUGAACGCUGGCGGCAGGCCUAACACAUGCAAGUCGAACGGUAACAGGAAGCAGCUUGCUGCUUUGCUGACGAGUGGCGGACGGGUGAGUAAUGUCUGGGAAACUGCCUGAUGGAGGGGGAUAACUACUGGAAACGGUGGCUAAUACCGCAUAAUGUCGCAAGACCAAAGAGGGGGACCUUCGGGCCUCUUGCCAUCAGAUGUGCCCAGAUGGGAUUAGCUUGUUGGUGAGGUAACGGCUCACCAAGGCGACGAUCCCUAGCUGGUCUGAGAGGAUGACCAGCCACACUGGAACUGAGACACGGUCCAGACUCCUACGGGAGGCAGCAGUGGGGAAUAUUGCACAAUGGGCGCAAGCCUGAUGCAGCCAUGCCGCGUGUAUGAAGAAGGCCUUCGGGUUGUAAAGUACUUUCAGCGGGGAGGAAGGUGUUGCGGUUAAUAACCGCAGCAAUUGACGUUACCCGCAGAAGAAGCACCGGCUAACUCCGUGCCAGCAGCCGCGGUAAUACGGAGGGUGCAAGCGUUAAUCGGAAUUACUGGGCGUAAAGCGCACGCAGGCGGUCUGUCAAGUCGGAUGUGAAAUCCCCGGGCUCAACCUGGGAACUGCAUUCGAAACUGGCAGGCUUGAGUCUUGUAGAGGGGGGUAGAAUUCCAGGUGUAGCGGUGAAAUGCGUAGAGAUCUGGAGGAAUACCGGUGGCGAAGGCGGCCCCCUGGACAAAGACUGACGCUCAGGUGCGAAAGCGUGGGGAGCAAACAGGAUUAGAUACCCUGGUAGUCCACGCCGUAAACGAUGUCUACUUGGAGGUUGUGCCCUUGAGGCGUGGCUUCCGGAGCUAACGCGUUAAGUAGACCGCCUGGGGAGUACGGCCGCAAGGUUAAAACUCAAAUGAAUUGACGGGGGCCCGCACAAGCGGUGGAGCAUGUGGUUUAAUUCGAUGCAACGCGAAGAACCUUACCUGGUCUUGACAUCCACAGAACUUUCCAGAGAUGGAUUGGUGCCUUCGGGAACUGUGAGACAGGUGCUGCAUGGCUGUCGUCAGCUCG
rnacentral:rRNA from 1 species